UACGUAGGGUGCAAGCGUUGUCCGGAAUUAUUGGGCGUAAAGCGCACGUAGGCGGCUUUGCAAGUCGGAUGUGAAAUCCCUCGGCUUAACCAAGGAAGUGCAUCCGAAACUGCAGAGCUUGAGUACUUAAGAGGAUCGCGGAAUUCCCGGUGUAGAGGUGAAAUUCGUAGAUAUCAGGAGGAACACCAGUGGCGAAGGCGGCUAUCUGGACGGACACUGACGCUGAGACGCGAAAGCGUGGGGGAGCAAACAGG
rnacentral:rRNA from 1 species